rnacentral:rRNA from 1 species
CUUGUCUCAAAGAUUAAGCCAUGCAUGUCUAAGUCCAAGCUGUGUUCACACGGCGAGACCGCGGACGGCUCAUUAAAUCAGUCGUGGUCCAAAUGGGCCAGUGCAAAUCCUACUUGGAUAACUGUGGUAAUUCCAGAGCUAAUACAUGCAACUGAUAUCCCGAAGGCGGUGUUUGGGCUUGCUUGCCUUGCGCUGCGCUGCUCUGACGGAUGCUUUUAUUAGACCAAGCCGCUGAGGACUUGAGGGUUCGCGCUCUCUUGUCUGACUCGUGUGAUGGUGACUCUGGAUAACCAAAUUCUGACAAGCGCACGUACUUCUCUUCUGAGCGAGACGGCGCUGCCACUUUCGAGUGUCUGCCUUAUCAGCUAUCAACCGUUCGUUAUGCGCGACCGAUGGCUUUGACGGGUAACGGGGAAUCAGGGUUCGAUUCCGGAGAGGCAGCCUGAGAGACGGCUACCACGUCCAAGGACGGCAGCAGGCACGCAAAUUACCCAAUCCCAGCAAAUGGGGGAGGUAGUGACGAAAUCUAACGAUGCGGGCGCCCUUUCUGGGGCCCCGCAAUCGGAAUGGGCACUUUCUAAACAACCUGUUGAGAACCUACUGAA